UGGAGUUAAGUUUAUAGGCUUUUUUUAUUUAACCACCAAACACCAGAAAUAAAAACCUGGAAGGGAGCCAACUUGACUCUGAGCCAGGGCCCUCCCUAGCAGAGGAGCGGUCCUCAGUCCCAGUUGCUUUCCCUAGCUGUUGACAAUUCCUUUCAAAGGCUGAACAAUCCCUUCACUUCUCAAAUUCUUCGUGGGAGUAGGGCAGCCCGGAGUGAUUCCUAGAGAUCCUGUCUUCCCAGUA
rnacentral:lncRNA from 1 species